rnacentral:rRNA from 1 species
CCUACGGUGGGCAGCAGUGGGGAUUAUUGGGCAAUGGGCGCAAGCCUGACCCAGCAACGCCGCGUGAAGGAAGAAGGCUUUCGGGUUGUAAACUUCUUUUGUCAGGGACGAAGCAAGUGACGGUACCUGACGAAUAAGCCACGGCUACCUACGUGCCAGCAGCCGCGGUAAUACGUAGGUGGCAAGCGUUAUCAGGAUUUACUGGGUGUAAAGGGCGUGUAGGCGGGACUGCAAGUCAGAUGUGAAAACCACGGGCUCAACCUGUGGCCUGCAUUUGAAACUGUAGUUCUUGAGUACUGGAGAGGCAGACGGAAUUCCUGGUGUAGCGGUGAAAUGCGUAGAUAUUAGGAGGAACACCGAUGGCGAAGGCGGUCUGUUGGACAGCAACUGACGCUGAGGCGCGAAAGCGUGGGGAGCAAACAGGAUUAGAUACCCCUGUAGUC